rfam:Gossypium hirsutum cultivar TM-1 unplaced genomic scaffold scaffold71.1, whole genome shotgun sequence
AAUCUGUUGUGUGGGCAUUUUUGGAUCAAUUUUUUAAAACGUUCCCAAGCCUCGUAAAAACUUUCCCCUUCCAAUUGUCUAAAUACAAGAAUUUCUCUUCUUAGUUG